AGGACGAACGCUGGCGGCGUGCUUAACACAUGCAAGUCGAGCGACGCUCCUCCUUCGGGAGGAUGACGGAGCGGCGAACGGGUGAGUAACACGUGGGCAACCUGCCCCUAGCUCUGGGAUAACCCCGGGAAAUCGGGACUAAUACCGGAUAUGAAGUCGGACGGCAUCUUCUGACUUGGAAAGUUUUUCGGCUAGGGAUGGGCCCGCGGCCUAUCAGCUUGUUGGUGGGGUAACGGCCUACCAAGGCGACGACGGGUAGCCGGCCUGAGAGGGCGACCGGCCACACUGGGACUGAGACACGGCCCAGACUCCUACGGGAGGCAGCAGUGGGGAAUAUUGCACAAUGGGCGAAAGCCUGAUGCAGCGACGCCGCGUGAGGGAUGACUGCCUUCGGGUUGUAAACCUCUUUCAGCAGGGACGAAGCGAAAGUGACGGUACCUGCAGAAGAAGCACCGGCCAACUACGUGCCAGCAGCCGC
rnacentral:rRNA from 1 species